GGGUUGUGAGGUUAAGCGACUAAGCGUACACGGUGGAUGCCCUGGCAGUCAGAGGCGAUGAAGGGCGUGCUAAUCUGCGAUAAGCGCCGGUAAGGUGAUAUGAACCGUUAUAACCGGCGAUACCCGAAUGGGGAAACCCAGUGUGACUCGUCACACUAUCAUUAACUGAAUCCAUAGGUUAAUGAGGCGAACCGGGGGAACUGAAACAUCUAAGUACCCCGAGGAAAAGAAAUCAACCGAGAUUCCCCCAGUAGCGGCGAGCGAACGGGGAGGAGCCCAGAGCCUGAAUCAGCAUGUGUGUUAGUGGAAGCGUCUGGAAAGGCGCGCGAUACAGGGUGACAGCCCCGUACACAAAAGCGCAUGUGCUGUGAGCUCGAUGAGUAGGGCGGGACACGUGGUAUCCUGUCUGAAUAUGGGGGGACCAUCCUCCAAGGCUAAAUACUCCUGACUGACCGAUAGUGAACCAGUACCGUGAGGGAAAGGCGAAAAGAACCCCGGCGAGGGGAGUGAAAAAGAACCUGAAACCGUGUACGUACAAGCAGUGG
rnacentral:rRNA from 1 species